UACAGAGGGUGCGAGCGUUAUUCGGAAUUACUGGGCGUAAAGCGCGCGUAGGCGGCUUUGCAAGUCGGGUGUGGAAUCCCCAGGCUUAACCUGGGAACUGCAUUCGAGACUGCAUUGCUAGAGUAUGGGAGAGGGAAGUGGAAUUUCCGGUGUAGCGGUGAAAUGCGUAGAUAUCGGAAGGAACAGCAGUGGCGAAAGCGACUUCCUGGACCAAUACUGACGCUCAUGUGCGAAAGCGUGGGGAGCAAACAGG
rnacentral:rRNA from 1 species